UGAUUAUGGCUCAGGAUGAACGCUAGCGGCAGGCUUAAUACAUGCAAGUCGAGGGGCAGCAGGGGUAGCAAUACUCGCUGGCGACCGGCAAACGGGUGAGGAACAUGUACGCAACCUUCCUUUAACUGGAGGAUAGCCCCUCGAAAGAGGGAUUAAUACUCCGUAACAUAAUGAAGUGGCAUCACUUUAUUAUUAUAGCUCCGGCGGUUAAAGAUGGGCGUGCAACUGAUUAGAUAGUUGGCGGGGUAACGGCCCACCAAGUCUGCGAUCAGUAACUGGUGUGAGAGCACGACCAGUCACACGGGCACUGAGACACGGGCCCGACUCCUACGGGAGGCAGCAGUAAGGAAUAUUGGUCAAUGGACGCAAGUCUGAACCAGCCAUGCCGCGUGGAGGAUUAAGGCCCUCUGGGUUGUAAACUCCUUUUAUCUGGGAAGAAAUGUGUUUUUUCUAAGACACUUGACGGUACCAGAGGAAUAAGCACCGGCUAACUCCGUGCCAGCAGCCGCGGUAAUACGGAGGGUGCAAGCGUUAUCCGGAUUCACUGGGUUUAAAGGGUGCGUAGGCGGGCAGAUAAGUCAGUGGUGAAAUCUUCGAGCUUAACUCGGAAACUGCCGUUGAUACUAUUUGUCUUGAAUAUUGUGGAGGUAAGCGGGAAUAUGUCAUGUAGCGGUGAAAUGCUUAUAUAUGACAUAGAACACCAAUUGCGAAGGCACCUUACUACAAAAAAAUUGACGCUCAUGCACGAAAGCGUGGGGGAUAAAAAAGGAGGAGAUACACGGGUAGUCCACCCCCCUGAAGGAGGAGUACUAGACUACCCCACCCCCCUGCGGCGGGCUGAGCGGAAG
rnacentral:rRNA from 1 species